UGCCAGGUGAUGAAUGCCGCGGGGGAAUUACCCCUCCGAUUGAGUACAGGCCAAGCCGGAGGAUUGCGUUUAGGCCUCCAGCGGAACCAUCCGAGGACAGGAUGGCAGGCACUCCAUCAAAAAUUAACCGGGAAAAUGACUUUGUGUUGCCUACAAGAUAGAAAGAGGUGAGGCACAGCCAGAGGAGCUGAAGAAUGAGUGGACAGAGUGGUACAGUAGCGAGCCGUCCAUUAGUGCCUGAAACAGCCCUGGCAUUUCCUGCACCAGUACUGCACCAGCGUGCCGGGAGAGGAGGGACAGAGCGGCAGGGAGGGAAGCUCAGCAGAAGCACUGUGAUGGAAUACCUGAGACUGCAUUACUGCGAGAGCAGGCUGAAUCCGUGAAGGCAGGACUGGUUCAUCUGUUCACAAGAUGACACGUUCUCUACAGGCCUGUGUGUCAUUGAG